AACCUUUUCAGACACUCAACCGAAGCACAAGUAAAUCCAUGGUAAAUAAAUAAAAACUAAUCCAAACUUUAAUAUCUCAACCAAAGGAUAAUCAAACUGCUACUGGGAAUUAAUAAAAUUAAAAUAAAACUGAAAUCUUUGUGUUGGAAUGUCUAGCAGAAGGAGUUUACUUUGUUAAAGCACACCGUUUUAAGCUUUAAAAUGAAAAGAGAUAAUAAUAUUAUUCCUUGCCCAAGCUAUCCCAAAGAUUUAUAUUUUGGUUACAAACUGAAAAUAAUCAUAUGGAGCGCCAUGUGCUGCUACUUACUUAUUUUUUUGCUUUUCCUUGGAUUAUUCGUAUUAAUAAUAUACAUGUUUUUAUAACAUAAGCAAAUAAAUAUACGGUGUGGUUUUAUUACAAUUUAAAACUAUCUUGUUCUAAAUAUGUAUAUUUACUUAAAUUAAUUUUUCCGUGUUUCCGUGUGUACAACUACCUAUGCUAACGAUCCCGAUCAGUUUAAGAAGCAUUUAUUAUUUUUACCUAUAUUUGAAAGUCAAAAUUAUCCAGGUUGUAAUGUCAAUAAAAAAAUAUAUUUUAAAAA